rnacentral:pre_miRNA from 1 species
CCCUCCCGCCGGAUCCGGCGGAGGGGAGGGCGCCGCUGCAUCCCGUCGCCCGCCUCCCCUCUUGUCGGAUCCGGCAGAGGGUA